GCAAGUCGAGCGCUUCCCUUCGGGGAGGAGCGGCGGACGGGUUAGUAACGCGUGGGAAUAUACCCAGAUCUAAGGAAUAGCCUCGGGAAACUGAGAGUAAUACCUUAUACGCCCUUCGGGGGAAAGAUUUAUCGGAUUUGGAUUAGCCCGCGUUAGAUUAGAUAGUUGGUGGGGUAACGGCCUACCAAGUCGACGAUCUAUAGCUGGUUUGAGAGGAUAAUC
rnacentral:rRNA from 1 species